rnacentral:rRNA from 1 species
CCUACGGGAGGCAGCAGUGGGGAAUAUUGCACAAUGGAGGGAACCCUGAUGCAGCGACGCCGCGUGGGUGAUGGCGUAUUUCGGGAUGUAAAGCCCUAUCAACAGGGGAAAACAAUGACGGUACCUGACUAAGAAGCAUCGGCUAAAUACGUUCCAGCAGCCGCGGUAAUACUGAUGGUGCCAGCGUUAUUCGGAUUUACUGGGUGGAAAGGGAGCGCAGGCGGGGCGUUAAGCCUGGUGUGAAAGCCCGCGGCCCAACCGCGGGAUUGCAGUGGGAACUGGAGAGCUGGAGUGCCGGAGGGGUAGGCGGAAUUCCUAGUGUAGCAGUGAAAUGCGUAGAUAUUAGGAGGAACACCAGUGGCGAAGGCGGGCGACUGGACGGUGACUGACGCUGAGGCUCGAAAGUGUGGGGAGCAAACAGGAUUAGAUACCCUAGUAGUC